AACGCAUCUUGCGCUCCUUGGUAUUCCGAGGAGCAUGCCUGUUUGAGUGUCAUUUGACCUUCUCAACCACAUCGUUCUUGUUUUGAAUGUGUGUGGCUUGGAUGUGGGGGUAAAUAAUUUUUAUUUUUUGCAGGCUUCAAAUCAAGAAGCCGGCUCCCCUGAAAUGCAUUAGUGGUGUCUGAGCUGCUAUUGGUGUGAUAAAUUAUCUAUGCCUUUGGUAAUGCUGGUCAGCAUCGCUUAUAACGGACGUUGUGAUCAUUUGACAAAUUUGACCUCAAAUCAGGUAGGACUACCCGCUGAACUUAA
rnacentral:misc_RNA from 3 species